rnacentral:rRNA from 1 species
UACGUAGGGGGCAAGCGUUGUCCGGAAUCACUGGGCGUAAAGGGCGCGUAGGCGGCCUGCUAAGUAGAGGGUGAAAUCCUGCGGCUCAACCGCAGGGCUGCCUUCUAAACUGUCAGGCUGGAGCACGGUAGAGGCAGAUGGAAUUCCCGGUGUAGCGGUGGAAUGCGUAGAGAUCGGGAAGAACACCAGUGGCGAAGGCGGUCUGCUGGGCCGUUGCUGACGCUGAGGCGCGACAGCGUGGGGAGCAAACAGG